rnacentral:rRNA from 1 species
UACGGAGGGUGCAAGCGUUAUCCGGAUUCACUGGGUUUAAAGGGUGCGUAGGUGGGCAGGUAAGUCAGUGGUGAAAUCUCCGGGCUUAACCCGGAAACUGCCAUUGAUACUAUCAGUCUUGAAUACCGUGGAGGUAAGCGGAAUAUGUCAUGUAGCGGUGAAAUGCUUAGAUAUGACAUAGAACACCAAUUGCGAAGGCAGCUGACUACGCGAAUAUUGACACUGAUGCACGAAAGCGUGGGGAUCAAACAGG